rnacentral:rRNA from 1 species
CCUACGUGAGGCAGCAGUGAGGAAUAUUGGUCAAUGGGCGAGAGUCUGAACCAGCCAAGUAGCGUGAAGGAUGACUGCACUAUGGGUUGUACACUUCUUUUAUAUGGGAAUAAAAUGUUCCACGUGUGGGAUUUUGUAUGUACCAUAUGGAUAAGGAUCGGCGAACUCCGUGCCAUCAGCCGCGGUAAUACGGAGGAUCCGAGCGUUAGCCGGAUUUAUUGGGGUUCAAGGGAGCGUAGGUGGAUUGUUAAGUCAGUUGUGAAAGUUUGCGGCUCAACCGUAAAAUUGCAGUUGAAACUGGCAGUCUUGAGUACAGUAGAGGUGGGCGGAAUUCGUGGUGUAGCGGUGAAAUGCUUAGAUAUCACGAAGAACUCCGAUUGUGAAGGCAGUUCACUGGACUGCAACUGACACUGAGGCUCGAAAGUGGGGGUAUCAAACAGGAUUAGAUACCCGAGUAGUC